rfam:Chlorocebus sabaeus isolate 1994-021 chromosome 18, whole genome shotgun sequence.
GCCAGGCGUGGUGGCAGGCACCUGUAAUCCCAGCUACUUGGGAGGCUGAGGCAGGAGAAUGGCGUGAACCUGAGAGGCGGAGCUUGCAGUGAGCAGAGAUCGCGCCACUGCACUCCAGCCUGGGCGACAGGUGGAGUCUCAGGUGGAGACUCGCUCUGUCACCCAGGCUGGAGUGCAGUGGCGUGAUCUCGGUUCACUGCAAGCUCCGCCUCCCGGGUUCACGCCAUUCUCCUCCCUCAG